UUACCUCGCAAGGGGUAACUGAGUGGCGAACGGGUGAGUAACACGUGGGUGACCUACCUUCGAGUGGGGGAUAACGUCCCGAAAGGGACGCUAAUACCGCAUAACAUCCUGCCUUUGAACAGGUGGAGAUCAAAGCCGGGGAUCGCAAGACCUGGCGCUUGAUGAGGGGCCCGCGCCUGAUUAGCUAGUUGGUGGGGUAACGGCUCACCAAGGCGACGAUCAGUAUCCGGCCUGAGAGGGCGGACGGACACACUGGGACUGAGACACGGCCCAGACUCCUACGGGAGGCAGCAGUGGGGAAUUGUUCGCAAUGGGCGCAAGCCUGACGACGCAACGCCGCGUGGAGGAUGAAGGUCUUCGGA
rnacentral:rRNA from 1 species